GCGAGUGUGGUGAAAUUGGCAGACGCGCUAGAUUCAGGUUCUAGUGGGAGCGAUCCCAUGCAGGUUCAAGUCCUGUCACUCGCACCA
rnacentral:tRNA from 1 species